AGGAUGAACGCUAGCUACAGGCUUAACACAUGCAAGUCGAGGGGCAGCAUGGUCUUAGCUUGCUAAGGCCGAUGGCGACCGGCGCACGGGUGAGUAACACGUAUCCAACCUGCCGUCUACUCUUGGACAGCCUUCUGAAAGGAAGAUUAAUACAAGAUGGCAUCAUGAGUCCGCAUGUUCACAUGAUUAAAGGUAUUCCGGUAGACGAUGGGGAUGCGUUCCAUUAGAUAGUAGGCGGGGUAACGGCCCACCUAGUCUUCGAUGGAUAGGGGUUCUGAGAGGAAGGUCCCCCACAUUGGAACUGAGACACGGUCCAAACUCCUACGGGAGGCAGCAGUGAGGAAUAUUGGUCAAUGGGCGAGAGCCUGAACCAGCCAAGUAGCGUGAAGGAUGACUGCCCUAUGGGUUGUAAACUUCUUUUAUAAAGGAAUAAAGUCGGGUAUGGAUACCCGUUUGCAUGUACUUUAUGAAUAAGGAUCGGCUAACUCCGUGCCAGCAGCCGCGGUAAUACGGAGGAUCCGAGCGUUAUCCGGAUUUAUUGGGUUUAAAGGGAGCGUAGAUGGAUGUUUAAGUCAGUUGUGAAAGUUUGCGGCUCAACCGUAAAAUUGCAGUUGAUACUGGAUAUCUUGAGUGCAGUUGAGGCAGGCGGAAUUCGUGGUGUAGCGGUGAAAUGCUUAGAUAUCACGAAGAACUCCGAUUGCGAAGGCAGCCUGCUAAGCUGCAACUGACAUUGAGGCUCGAAAGUGUGGGUAUCAAACAGGAUUAGAUACCCUGGUAGUCCACACGGUAAACGAUGAAUACUCGCUGUUUGCGAUAUACUGCAAGCGGCCAAGCGAAAGCGUUAAGUAUUCCACCUGGGGAGUACGCCGGCAACGGUGAAACUCAAAGGAAUUGACGGGGGCCCGCACAAGCGGAGGAACAUGUGGUUUAAUUCGAUGAUACGCGAGGAACCUUACCCGGGCUUAAAUUGCAGAUGAAUUACGGUGAAAGCCGUAAGCCGCAAGGCAUCUGUGAAGGUGCUGCAUGGUUGUCGUCAGCUCGUGCCGUGAGGUGUCGGCUUAAGUGCCAUAACGAGCGCAACCCUUGUUGUCAGUUACUAACAGGUUCCGCUGAGGACUCUGACAAGACUGCCAUCGUAAGAUGUGAGGAAGGUGGGGAUGACGUCAAAUCAGCACGGCCCUUACGUCCGGGGCUACACACGUGUUACAAUGGGGGGUACAGAGGGCCGCUACCACGCGAGUGGAUGCCAAUCCCCAAAACCUCUCUCAGUUCGGACUGGAGUCUGCAACCCGACUCCACGAAGCUGGAUUCGCUAGUAAUCGCGCAUCAGCCACGGCGCGGUGAAUACGUUCCCGGGCCUUGUACACACCGCCCGUCAAGCCAUGGGAGCCGGGGGUACCUGAAGUGCGUAACCGCGAGGAGCGCCCUAGGGUAAAACUGGUGAAUGG
rnacentral:rRNA from 1 species